CAGUCGCCACGGUAAUACGAAGGGGGCUAGCGUUGCUCGGAAUCACUGGGCGUAAAGGGUGCGUAGGCGGGUAUUUAAGUCAGGGGUGAAAUCCUGGAGCUCAACUCCAGAACUGCCUUUGAUACUGAGUAUCUUGAGUACGGGAGAGGUGAGUGGAACUGCGAGUGUAGAGGUGAAAUUCGUAGAUAUUCGCAAGAACACCAGUGGCGAAAGCGGCUCACUGGACCAUUACUGACGCUGAUGCACGAAAGCUAGGGGAGCAAACAGGAUUAGAUACCCCAGUAGUCCCUGUCUCUUAUAC
rnacentral:rRNA from 1 species